rnacentral:rRNA from 1 species
CAGCCGCCGCGGUAAUACGUAGGUGGCAAGCGUUGUCCGGAAUUAUUGGGCGUAAAGGGCUCGCAGGCGGUUUCUUAAGUCUGAUGUGAAAGCCCCCGGCUCAACCGGGGAGGGUCAUUGGAAACUGGGAAACUUGAGUGCAGAAGAGGAGAGUGGAAUUCCACGUGUAGCGGUGAAAUGCGUAGAGAUGUGGAGGAACACCAGUGGCGAAGGCGACUCUCUGGUCUGUAACUGACGCUGAGGAGCGAAAGCGUGGGGAGCGAACAGGAUUAGAUACCCCUGUAGUCCCUGUCUCUUAUCC